UUUGUCUGUUUCAUUCUUGUCAGUGAAGGAGGGUGAGAGAUGAGUAGUGUGAGUGAGGGGUACGUGACUGUAAGUGGAGUUUCAUUAAGGUUGUGUGCUGAGGUGGGCGGCGAUCGAGGCCUCGGGUCUUCCCGUCACGCCUUUGUCACGCCAGGUUUUUAAAGAAGGCUGACGGACGUCCUUCGUUCCCUAUAGACGCUUCGCUCCCUCAAUGCUUCUCACUCGUCCUGCCACUCUGGAGGUGAGAUGGUACAAGUCUCAGCUCGGGGCUCAGUUAUGUGAUUUGUUUUGUCUGCAGGGUUUUUGAUCUUAAAAAAGACAUGGAGAGGAAACGUUAGUUAAUACAAAUACAUUUAAAUGGUUUAAGUCAGUAGUUUACAGUACGCUGGUUAGCGGUAAAACUGAACUGAAAAACUGUAAAAACUAACAAUCAAAAUAAACAACACUUUAAAUUAAAGGAAUCUAAUAUUAAUAGGGGUGUAACGAUUAAUUUGAACAACGAGUCGAUUCGAAUCGCGACUCGAUUCAUGGAUGAUCUGGGUUAAUUUAGGCAAGGCAAGGCAAUUUUAUUUGUAUAGCACUUUUCAUACACAAGGCAGACUCAAAGUGCUUCAUAUUAUAACAUUUCAUACAAUAAAGUGAAAUAAAAUGCAGGAAUUAGAAGACGAUUAAAAACAGCAAAUAAAAUUAUAAAUAACCCUUAUUUAAAUUGUUUAAUUAAAAGCAGAGGUUAAAAGUGCAAUGUAGGUAAAAUUUAGCAGAAGGCGAAGCUGAACAUAAAAGUUUUCAGUCUUGUUUUAAACGUGGUCAGAGUUGGGGCAACCUACUAGUUAUAAAGGCAUGUACAAGUCUUGAGCUGACAUGAGCCCUCUAAGUCGUGCGACAUUUUUGAGGUGGUAGUAGGCCGAUUUUGUUACUGAUUUGAUGUGACUCUCCAAGUGUAAAUCUGAAUCCAUAAUAACCCCCAGAUUUCUGGCUUUAUUUGAUGUUUUCAGGGACA
ensembl:lncRNA